rnacentral:lncRNA from 10 species
CUGGCUAUUAGGAAGGAAAAAAAAAUGGUGUGGAGAAAGACGGGCUCUGGUUCCUUACGGCCCAUUUUCUCUCCAGGCUUUUCUUGGUUUCCAGCUUUUGCUUUUUAAAUUUUUCCCUGUCUUUUUGGUUGAAAAUGUACAAAAUGUGUAUUUUAAAUAUCAAAAAAUUAUACAUUUUGAACAUGACAAAAUCUUAGAUCCACAAUACGUUUUUACAAAAAUAUUAUUUUAAAAAUACCGUCUGCUUUCUCUCUACUUGAAUUAAAAUGUCAUGUUCAUUUCUUAUCUUCUGAUCUGUUCAAUCUGACAUUUGUUAGAUGUGAAAAAGUUCUGCAGACUAUUUCAGAGAAUAUUUUUAAAAUGUGAACAACCGACAUGUAAAAUGUCCGCGGGAGCACGCUUGCGGAGUUCACAUUCAUUUUUCAGACGCUGGGGUGCUGGGAACGGCGGGCGUCCUUCCUGGGUACCGCGGGGCGGCCGUCCCGGGCCGGGUCCCCUUCCUCCUCGGGGCACCGACGGCCUCUCCUGGCCGGGCUGAGGCCGGCUCGGCCCCGUGCGGCCUUCCGGUUUGCUAGCAUUUUCCUUCUGGGACGCGCACGGAGGCUGUGGAGAGACCCGGCCGGGGUCCGAGGGGGUGGGCGGCCCUAGCGCGGGUCGGGCCGCGGGUCCCACCUGCUGCCGCCCGCCCCGAGUGCCCCAGAGACUCUGCCGCCGCCCGAGCGCGCGGCCCGGGCCACCUGAUGGAACGUGCGGAGCUCACUCCUCCACCUGGCGCCCAUUUGGCUUUUUAUUAUCUGCCUCCCGCAUCCUAACUGGUUCCAGAUUUGCAACCUCAGAGGCGCAGACACCCGGCUGGGCCACGCCAUCGAUCCCCAGAUGGAGUCUUGCUCUGUUGUCAGGCUGGAGUGCAGCGGCCACUGUUACCUCCGCCUCCCGGGUUCACGCGAUUCUCCUGCCUCAGCCUCCCAAGUAGCUGGGACUACAGGCCCAGCUCCAUGAUGAUGCCUCUCUCCAGAGACCUCCUGACCUCCUGACCUGCACAGCCCGGGAGACCACAGCCCACAGCCGCUGCCCCAGGUGUCCACAAGCAUCUCAGCCCCUCCACAGCCCACGCAUCUCCUCUUUCAUUGGCUCAUGGGGAGUGAAGGACAAUGUCUGAAUUAAAUGCCGUGCUUUAAACUGAAAGGGAAACUUAGCAAAUAAAUGAGAGUAACAACACUAGAUCAUUGGCCAGUGUGGUUGCAAUUCUUCCUUUCCCUCCAGAUUUCUGUUUAACCUUUAAAUCUCAUUUCGGCAUGCCUCUUGGUCCUCCUUGGAUUGAUAUUAAGUUGUACACAGGCUACUUCUUGUAAGACGAUGAGAACUCUUGCCGAUAUUUUACAACGUCUUACUCUGAACUUUCCCCUAUUCUUUCUGCCUAGAUGCAUUAUUUUCAGGAAAUCUAUGUUGUAAGACAGAGGUAGGCAAACCAGGGUUGCGGGCCAAGUCCUUCCCACAGCCUGUUUUUGUAAAUAAAGUUUUAUUGGAAUGCAGCCAAGCUUGUUCAUUUACACAUCAUCUAUGGCUGCUUCUGUCCUGCCAUAGCACUGUUGAGUAGUUGCGACAGAGACCACGUGACCUGCAAAGCCCAAAAUAUUUACUAUCUGACCCAUUACAGAAAACGUUGCCAAUAUCCUGUCGUAAGAUAUGCUGAAAUGUUUAAUUCUUUGAGGACUGGGGCACAAAAUUAUGUAUUUUUUUAAUCCACCAUGCUAAAAGAAGGAAAAUUCAUUUACUGUAAUAUGUCCUG